UUUAGUUAAAAGUUAGAAAUAUAAAAAACAUUUUUUUAAAGAAAAAAAAAAAGGAAUCCAGCCUGAUUUCUUUGGCUUAAAUGGCCCAAUUGAUAGCUUUUACAUUGCUAUGGAAAAAAAUGUUCUCAACCCAUUCCAUGCUAUUCCACGUUAUGCAUGUGUUGUGAUCUUCUUUAAGGGUAUUGCUUUUGGUUGCAAGUUGUGAUGUAUAAUGGAUAAUGUGUUGUAACUGGUGAACCUGUAUUUUUUGCAGUAAGCUAAAAAUUUUAGCGUGUGAAAGUGACAGGAUAGCUUGUAAAAUUGUGGAUUUUGUAGUUUUAUCAUGGAUAAAGUUUUAAGUUUGUAAUUCUAUUUUGUUCCAGUCAACUAAGGUUUUGGGACAUUUAAAAAAGUAGUGGAUUCAUAGGAUUUGACUUGCGUUUGAAAUUUUCAAGUUUGUAAUUUUUUACUGUAACAGGCUGCAGUACUACAACAUCCUUCA
rnacentral:misc_RNA from 1 species